AUGGCUCAGAACGAACGCUGGCGGCGCGUUUAAGCAUGCAAGUCGAGCGGCAAGGGCCUUCGGGCCCCUAGAGCGGCGGACGGGUGAGUAACACGUGGACAAUCUGCCCCCCGGCCCGGGAUAGCCCAGGGAAACCUGGAUUAAUACCGGAUGAGACGGGACCCGCGAUGGCGGGAUCCGGGAAAGGCGCUGCGGCGCCGCCGGGGGAUGAGUCUGCGUCCCAUUAGCUAGACGGCGGGGUAACGGCCCACCGUGGCGACGAUGGGUAGCCGGCCUGAGAGGGUGGACGGCCACAUUGGAACUGAGACACGGUCCAGACUCCUACGGGAGGCAGCAGCUAAGAAUCUUCCGCAAUGGGCGAAAGCCUGACGGAGCCGACGCCGCGUGAACGAAGAAGGCCGUGAGGUUGUAAAGUUCUUUUCGGGAGGGGGAACAACCGUGGCAGGGAAUGGCCGCGGGAUGACGUGAAUCCCGGAAUAAGCCCCGGCUAACUACGUGCCAGCCGCCGC
rnacentral:rRNA from 1 species